AUUGAACGCUGGCGGCAGGCCUAACACAUGCAAGUCGAGCGGAUGAAGGGAGCUUGCUCCUGGAUUCAGCGGCGGACGGGUGAGUAAUGCCUAGGAAUCUGCCUGGUAUUGGGGGAUAACGUCCGGAAACGGGCGCUAAUACCGCAUACGUCCUGAUGUAGAAAGUGGGGGAUCUUCGGACCUCACGCUAUCAGAUGAGCCUAGGUCGGAUUAGCUAGUUGGUUGGGUAAAGGCCUACCAAGGCGACGAUCCGUAACUGGUCUGAGAGGAUGAUCAGUCACACUGGAACUGAGACACGGUCCAGACUCCUACGGGAGGCAGCAGUGGGGAAUAUUGGACAAUGGGCGAAAGCCUGAUCCAGCCAUGCCGCGUGUGUGAAGAAGGUCUUCGGAUUGUAAAGCACUUUAAGUUGGGAGGAAGGGAAGUAAGUUAAUACCUGGCUGUUUUGACGUUACCAAAAGAAUAAGCACCGGCUAACUUCGCG
rnacentral:rRNA from 1 species